GGACGAACGCUGGCGGCGUGCUUAACACAUGCAAGUCGAGCGGUAAGGCCCUUUCGGGGGUACACGAGCGGCGAACGGGUGAGUAACACGUGGGUGACCUGCCCUCAGCUCUGGGAUAAGCCUGGGAAACUGGGUCUAAUACUGGAUAUGACUCCACGGUGCAUGUCGUGGGGUGGAAAGCCUUGUGCGGCUGAGGAUGGGCCCGCGGCCUAUCAGCUUGUUGGUGGGGUGAUGGCCUACCAAGGCGACGACGGGUAGCCGGCCUGAGAGGGCGACCGGCCACACUGGGACUGAGACACGGCCCAGACUCCUACGGGAGGCAGCAGUGGGGAAUCUUGCGCAAUGGGCGAAAGCCUGACGCAGCGACGCCGCGUGAGGGAUGACGGCCU
rnacentral:rRNA from 1 species